UACAGGGGGGGCAAGCGUUGUUCGGAAUUACUGGGCGUAAAGGGCUCGUAGGCGGCCAAUUAAGUCCGACGUGAAAUCCCCAGGCUUAACCUGGGAACUGCGUCGGAUACUGAUUGGCUUGAAUCCGGGAGAGGGAUGCGGAAUUCCAGGUGUAGCGGUGAAAUGCGUAGAUAUCUGGAGGAACACCUGUGGUGUAGACGGCUUUCUGGACCAUAACUGACGCUGAGACACGAAAGCGUGGGUAGCAAACAGG
rnacentral:rRNA from 1 species